AUCUUUUCCAAGCUUCCCAGCCAGGGGGGGCAGCAACAGUAAUGAAGAAAGCCUGGGAAUAGCUCAAAGGCAGCGGGUCUAUAGUUGGUCUCUGCCACUGCAAAAACCCCUCUCGACGUCCCUUUCUCGACAUUUCUCUCUAGAUUCGAGAAGACGAAGAUGGGUACCAUCUCUGCGAUCCUCUUCUUCGCUUUCCUCCUCAUCUCCUCUGCACACUCCUUCUAUCUUCCUGGCGUAGCUCCUCGUGACAUUCACAGGGGGGAUAUCCUUUCUGUCAAAGUGAACAAAUUGUCAUCUACAAAGACACAACUUCCAUAUGACUACUACUACUUGAAAUAUUGUAAGCCUAAAUAUAUUAUUAACAAUGCGGAAAAUUUGGGAGAGGUUCUUCGAGGUGACCGCAUUGAGAAUUCUGUAUACAAUUUUGAAAUGAUGGAAGAGCAAGCAUGCAAAGUGGCAUGCGGAGUGGCACUUGAUGCUGAAUCUGCCAAGAAUUUCAAGGAAAAAAUUGAUGAUGAAUAUCGGGUGAACAUGUAAGUUGGAGAUGUGCCUGCCAUUUUUUAGUUUACUAUUUUGAGUUUUGUUUGCAAAGGUACAGUUUUUCCACGCUAAACUCCACUCUUCCAUUGCUUUUCUAUUUGUAACUUCGUUUGUUUUGUGUUUGUAUUGUAUGUUAAUUUUAUACUCAUCUGUUGCUUGUACAUUUUCAGUUAAAACUUAAAAUAUUUUCUUCUUUGUGUUGAUAGUUGGGAAAUGGAUGUGCAGGAUACUGGAUAAUCUUCCCGUUGCUGUUCUUAGACAAAGGAGAGAUGGCAGUCAGUCAAAAACUUAUGAACAUGGUUUCCGUGUGGGAUUCAAAGGAAGUUAUGCUGGUGUAUGUUUUAGAAAGCACUAGCUAGUAUAGGAGUUUCUCUUUUUCUUUGUCUCUUUUUUUUUUUUAUGAGAAUUUGUUUCUUUAACAGAGUAAAGAGGAGAAAUAUUUUAUCAAUAACCACUUAAGCUUUAGAGUUAUGUAUCACAAGGAUCCUGAGACAGACUCUGCUCGAAUUGUUGGGUUUGAGGUUAUUCCAAACAGGUAUUGUACCAUCUUCUUGUCUUAUUUCAGUUUUCAUUUUAUCGAGUUUUCUUGGGUGGAUGGUGGAAAUUAAUUAAUUUUAGUGUUUGCUCCAAAUUCUGAAAGCUGAAAUGCAAUAGAGGAAAAUAAAAAUGUAAGUUCUUGAAUUAAUUUAAGCAUGCUUGCUGUCAGUUGGUUUUAGUUGCAAAAUGAUGUAGGUAUACAUUGAUAUGCAUAUGAAUACUUGCAUGUGUGCAUUGCUCUGGAGUUCAUUUUCUUACUUUAGCAGGUUCGUUUUGUGCCAAAAGUACAAAUUUACCUUGCUUAUUUCCAUUUUGUAUGCUUACAUGCCUUAUCAUUUGUGACUUAUCAUCAGCAUCCUGUUGAAAUUUUAUCGCAAAUGCUGGUAUUAUUUUCUUUGUGGUUUUCCAAUCAUAUAACAAUGUGUCCACUAUGCAGUCUGUUCUUUCUUGUUUGUUACAUCCGCUCUCUGUGGAUUGUGAAAUAGUUAGCUUAUUUAUUUCCGCCUGUUUUAUUCUGAUUCCUGUAAACAGUAUUAAUCAUGAAUACAAGGAAUGGGAUGAUAACAAUCCUCAAGUGACAACAUGCAACAAGGACACCAAGAAGUUGAUUCAAGGUAGCACUGUUCCACAAGAAGUUGACUCAGGCAAGAAAGUUGUAUUCUCAUAUGAUGUUACCUUCAAGGAAAGUGAGAUUAAAUGGGCAUCUCGGUGGGACACAUACCUACUCAUGAAUGAUGAUCAGAUCCACUGGUUCUCCAUCAUAAACUCUUUGAUGAUUGUGCUGUUCCUUUCUGGCAUGGUGGCCAUGAUCAUGAUGAGAACAUUGUAUAGAGAUAUUGCAAACUACAAUCAGUUGGAGACUCAAGAUGAGGCUCAGGAAGAAACAGGGUGGAAACUUGUCCAUGGAGAUGUGUUCCGGGCACCUAUCAAUUCUGGUUUACUCUGUGUUUAUGUUGGCACAGGUGUACAAAUCUUUGGAAUGACAUUAGUGACAAUGAUAUUUGCAUUGCUGGGUUUCUUAUCCCCUUCCAACAGAGGUGGCCUUAUGACAGCUAUGGUUCUGUUGUGGGUUUUCAUGGGCAUAUUGGCUGGUUACUCAUCAGCACGUUUGUACAAAAUGUUCAAGGGAACAGAGUGGAAGAGGAACACCCUAAAAACUGCAUUUAUGUUCCCGGGUAUUCUUUUUGCAAUCUUCUUUGUGCUGAAUGCCCUAAUAUGGGAAGAGCAGUCUUCAGGGGCAGUGCCUUUUGGGACCAUGUUUGCUUUGGUUUGCUUGUGGUUUGGUAUAUCUGUUCCUUUGGCCUUUGUGGGUAGUUACCUUGGUUUCAAAAAGCCAGCUAUUGAAGAUCCUGUGAAAACAAACAAAAUUCCUAGGCAAAUACCUGAGCAAGCAUGGUACAUGAAACCAUUCUUCUCCAUACUCGUUGGAGGCAUUCUUCCAUUUGGCGCUGUUUUUAUUGAGCUCUUCUUCAUCUUGACAUCAAUAUGGUUGAAUCAGUUCUACUAUAUCUUUGGCUUCCUCUUCAUAGUGUUUGUUAUCCUUUUGAUCACUUGUGCAGAGAUAACAAUUGUGCUCUGCUACUUCCAGUUAUGCAGUGAAGACUACCACUGGUGGUGGAGAUCUUACCUGACUGCUGGCUCAUCUGCUCUGUACCUUUUCCUCUACUCAGUAUUCUACUUCUUUACCAAAUUGGAAAUCACUAAGUUGGUUUCCGGAAUCCUCUACUUCGGGUAUAUGAUAAUCAUAUCUUAUGCUUUCUUUGUUUUGACUGGAGCAGUUGGCUUCUAUGCUUGCUUCUGGUUUGUCCGAAAGAUUUACUCAUCUGUCAAAAUUGACUGAGACUAACCUGAAGAUGCAUAAGGUGGCUGAGGACGGCAUCAAUUCCAUGGGUUUUGUUUAGUUUCCUCUCUGCUUUUGCCAGAUGCAGACUACGCAAUGGAAAUUUUUGGUUGGUCUUGGUGAAAGCAUUUCAUGUGUUGAUUAUAGAGUAGGGAGGGGCAUGUUUUGUUUUUGCUUGUGAAAAUUAUACUGUUCUCGCUAGUUUCUGUGCAUUAAUUGGUGAUCUAGAUAUAUCCAUACAGUAUAUCAACUUUCAUCCAUUCAAUUAUAGGAGUUCUCUUGUGCUGCUUUAUGUUUCUUAUGUUGUAAUUCUUUUGUAGUUAGAAAAAUCAAUGGUAGGAAAUUAGUAUCUCAUUUCAUUUGAGCCAACAUUGCAGAGACGUAGAUAUCGGCAUUAAGGGAGGGAAUUUGGUGAGUUUGUGGAUAAUUUCCCUUGUAAUUUCUUUUAAUGGAAAAGGGCAUCCAGCGUGAAUCUCGGUUCAUGAGAUUGGCACGCGAA
rnacentral:misc_RNA from 1 species